rnacentral:miRNA from 1 species
CACGCCGUGUGUGUGUGUGUGUGUGUAUGUAUCUAUCUAUAUAAAAAUAUAUAUAUAUAUAUAUAUAUAUAUAUGAUAUAGAGAUAUAUACACACACACACACACACACAUACACUGCUGU